rnacentral:rRNA from 1 species
ACGGAAGGCAGCAGUGAGGAAUAUUGGUCAAUGGGCGAGAGCCUGAACCAGCCAAGUAGCGUGAAGGAUGACUGCCCUACGGGUUGUAAACUUCUUUUAUACGGGAAUAAAAAAGGCCACGUGUGGCCUCUUGUAUGUACCGUAUGAAUAAGCAUCGGCUAAUUCCGUGCCAGCAGCCGCGGUAAUACGGAAGAUGCGAGCGUUAUCCGGAUUUAUUGGGUUUAAAGGGAGCGUAGGCGGGUCUUUAAGUCAGUGGUCAAAGCGUGUGGCUCAACCAUACCACGCCAUUGAUACUGGAGACCUUGAGUGCACAUAAGGAUGGUGGAAUUCGUCGUGUAGCGGUGAAAUGCAUAGAUAUGACGAAGAACUCCGAUUGCGAAGGCAGCUUACUGUCGCGUAACUGACGCUGAAGCUCGAAAGUGCGGGUAUCGAACAGGAUUAGAUACCCUGGUA